rnacentral:rRNA from 1 species
UGGGGAAUUUUGGACAAUGGGCGCAAGCCUGAUCCAGCCAUGCCGCGUGCGGGAAGAAGGCCUUCGGGUUGUAAACCGCUUUUGUCAGGGAAGAAAUCUUCUGAGUUAAUACCUCGGGAGGAUGACGGUACCUGAAGAAUAAGCACCGGCUAACUACGUGCCAGCAGCCGCGGUAAUACGUAGGGUGCAAGCGUUAAUCGGAAUUACUGGGCGUAAAGCGUGCGCAGGCGGUUUUGUAAGACAGAGGUGAAAUCCCCGGGCUCAACCUGGGAACUGCCUUUGUGACUGCAAGGCUUGAGUGCGGCAGAGGGGGAUGGAAUUCCGCGUGUAGCAGUGAAAUGCGUAGAUAUGCGGAGGAACACCGAUGGCGAAGGCAAUCCCCUGGGCCUGCACUGACGCUCAUGCACGAAAUCGUGGGGAGCAAACAGGAUUAGAUACCCUGGUAGUCCACGCCCUAAACGAUGUCAACUGGUUGUUGGGAAGGUUCCUUCUCAGUAACGUAGCUAACGCGUGAAGUUGACCGCCUGGGGAGUACGGCCGCAAGGUUGAAACUCAAAUGAAUUGACGGGGUCAUAGCUG